GAUGAACGCUGGCGGCGUGCUUAACACAUGCAAGUCGAGCGAAGCACUUACCAUUGACUCUUCGGAAGAUUUGGUAAAUGACUGAGCGGCGGACGGGUGAGUAACGCGUGGGCAACCUGCCUCAUACAGGGGAAUAACAGUUAGAAAUGGCUGCUAAUGCCGCAUAAGCGCACAGUACCGCAUGGUACGGUGUGAAAAACCGAGGUGGUAUGAGAUGGACCCGCGUCUGAUUAGGUAGUUGGUGGGGUAAUGGCCUACCAAGCCGACGAUCAGUAGCCGGCCUGAGAGGGUGAACGGCCACAUUGGGACUGAGACACGGCCCAGACUCCUACGGGAGGCAGCAGUGGGGAAUAUUGCACAAUGGGGGAAACCCUGAUGCAGCGACGCCGCGUGAAGGAAGAAGUAUCUCGGUAU
rnacentral:rRNA from 1 species